UGGGCCCGACGUCGCAUGCUCCCGGCCGCCAUGGCGGCCGCGGGAAUUCGAUUAGAGUUUGAUCCUGGCUCAGGACGAACGCUGGCGGCGUGCCUACUACAUGCAAGUCGAGCGCGCACUCUUCGGGGUGCGAGCGGCGGACGGGUGAGUAACACGUGGAUAACUUGUCUAGAAGACGGGGAUUACCUCCGGAAACGGAGGUCAAUACCGGAUGAGCCUCUGGGAUCGCAUGAUUCGAGAGGGAAAGGUGCCUUUGGUGCCGCUUCUGGAGAGGUCCGCGGCGCAUUAGCUAGUUGGUGAGGUAAGGGCUCACCAAGGCGACGAUGCGUAGCCGGCCUGAGAGGGUGUACGGCCACACUGGGACUGAGACACGGCCCAGACUCCUACGGGAGGCAGCAGUAGGGAAUUUUCCGCAAUGGACGAAAGUCUGACGGAGCGACGCCGCGUGAGUGAAGACGGCCUUUGGGUUGUAAACCUCUUUUAGUAGGGAAGAAGCGAAAGUGACGGUACCUGCAGAAAAAGCACCGGCUAACUACGUGCCAGCAGCCGCGGUAAUACGAAUCACUAGUGAAUUCGCGGCCGCCUGCAGGUCGACCAUAUGGAGAGCUCCCA
rnacentral:rRNA from 1 species